rnacentral:rRNA from 1 species
GUGCCAGCCGCCGCGGUAAUACGUAGGGGGCAAGCGUUGUCCGGAUUUAUUGGGCGUAAAGAGCUCGUAGGUGGUUCGGUAAGUCGGAUGUGAAAUCUCCAGGCUCAACCUGGAGGGGUCAUUCGAUACUGCCGUGACUAGAGGUCGGUAGGGGAGUGUGGAAUUCCUGGUGGAGCGGUGAAAUGCGCAGAUAUCAGGAGGAACACCCGUAGCGAAGGCGGCACUCUGGGCCGAUACUGACACUGAGGAGCGAAAGCGUGGGGAGCGAACAGGAUUAGAUACCCGUGUAGUCC